rnacentral:misc_RNA from 1 species
GAUGAAGAACGUAGUGAAAUGCGAUAAGUAAUGUGAAUUGCAGAAUUCAGUGAAUCAUCGAAUCUUUGAACGCACAUUGCGCCCUCUGGUAUUCCGGAGGGCAUGCCUGUUCGAGCGUCAUUUCACCACUCAAGCCUGGCUUGGUAUUGGGCGCCGCGGUGUUCCGCGCGCCUCAAAGUCUCCGGCUGAGCUGUCCGUCUCCAAGCGUUGUGAUUUCAUUAAUCGCUUCGGAGUGCGGGCGGCCGCGGCCGUUAAAUCUUUCACAAGGUUGACCUCGGAUCAGGUAGGGAUACCCGCUGAACUUAAGCAUAUCAAUAAGCGGAGGA